rnacentral:rRNA from 1 species
GAUCAUGGCUCAGGAUGAACGCUAGCGACAGGCUUAACACAUGCAAGUCGAGGGGCAGCAUAAAAGUAGCAAUACUUGGUGGCGACCGGCGCACGGGUGAGUAACGCGUAUGCAACCUACCUAUCAGAGGGGAAUAACCCGGCGAAAGUCGGACUAAUACCGCAUAAAACAGGGGCACCGCAUGGUGAUAUUUGUUAAAGAAAUUCGCUGAUAGAUGGGCAUGCGUUCCAUUAGGUAGUUGGUGAGGUAACGGCUCACCAAGCCGACGAUGGAUAGGGGAACUGAGAGGUUGGUCCCCCACACUGGUACUGAGACACGGACCAGACUCCUACGGAAGGCAGCAGUGAGGAAUAUUGGUCAAUGGGCGGGAGCCUGAACCAGCCAAGUCGCGUGAAAGGAAGAAGGAUCUAUGGUUCGUAAACUUCUUUUGCAGGGGAAUAAAGUGCAGGACGUGUCCUGUUUUGUAUGUACCCUGAGAAUAAGGAUCGGCUAACUCCGUGCCAGCAGCCGC